UACGGGGGGAGCAAGCGUUGUUCGGAUUUACUGGGCGUAAAGGGCGCGUAGGCGGUCAGCACAAGUCAGUUGUGAAAUCUCCGGGCUUAACCCGGAAACUGCAUUGAAUACUAUUCGGCUUGAGGUCUGGAGGGGGGACUGGAAUUCUCGGUGUAGCAGUGAAAUGCGUAGAUAUCGAGAGGAACACCAGUGGCGAAGGCGAGUCCCUGGACAGGUCCUGACGCUGAGGCACGAAAGCUAGGGGAGCAAACAGG
rnacentral:rRNA from 1 species